CCCUUAGAUGUUCUGGGCCGCACGCGCGCUACACUGACGAUGGCAACGAGUUUUUCCUUCGCCGAAAGGUGUGGGUAAUCUUUUGAAACAUCGUCGUGCUGGGGAUAGAUCAUUGCAAUUUUUGAUCUUGAACGAGGAAUUCCUAGUAAGCGCGAGUCAUCAGCUCGCGUUGAUUACGUCCCUGCCCUUUGUACACACCGCCCGUCGCUACUACCGAUUGAAUGGUUUAGUGAGGACUCCUGAUUGGCGCCGCCGCCCCGGCAACGGAGCAGCGGAUUGCCGAAAAGUUGUUCAAACUUGAUCAUUUAGAGGAAGUAAAAGUCGUAACA
rnacentral:rRNA from 1 species